GUGACCAAAAACAAGCUAUAUAUGGACAAUACCAAAACAAAUGAUCUAAUGUUUCUGCCUCUUCGCAGCAAAAUCUGCAGAGCUGGGAAGGUUGUAUCCCCCAUAUAAAUAACGUUCUGUUGGUUGCAGGAAUUCCGUAUUAUAAUUGAUAUUGAAAAAUUCUACGUUUUGAAUCCGGCGUCGUUUUGCGUAUCAGUUCAUAAACCAUGUGCCAUGGAAUCCGUACGUCAAAAAUCUAGGGCCGACAGACAAGUUCCUUACUUUUUGAGUGAAAUACAGAAUCGUUCCGUAUUUUAUCGAACGGGUGGCAACCCUAAGUCUAAAUAUUGCUGUUACAUUGCACAACUUUCAAUGUUAUGUCAUAAUUGUGUAUAAUUCUGGUAAAUUAAUUACGAUCUUUCCUCCAUUUUUUUUGGUUUUUCCUCUAACUUACUCUGAGCCUCUAUGGUACAAUUUUUAUUGCUAUCAAUCUGUUCUGUUAGAUCUUCUAUUUCCUUUCCCAGUGUUGAAUCAUGUCCCAAUUGCUUGACAACACAUGCACAGAGGUUACCCACCAAUCACAACCCUAGACAGCCUUUCACAAAUUGUAACCACGCUGGAGAAGUGUAGCGGCGGUAAGAGUUCCACCAAAAUGGAAAGCGAGGAAGCCAACUCAGCCUCUCGUGAGGAUGAAAUCAACCCCAAAAAGGGCAGCAAUGUUUUUUAGUAAUAUAAAUUUUUAGUAAAAUGUAUGAAAUGUAUGCAUUCACUACUGUAAGUCGCUCUGGAUAAGAGCGUCUGCUAAAUGACUAAAAUGUAAAAAUGUAUCUGAUUCAGCUAGUUAAGGUCUUGUUGAGCAGCUAAUUAGUAGAAUCGGGUGUGUUUUAAAUCAGGGUUGGACUGAAAACCAACAGGACUGUAGAUCUCCAGGAAGAGGGUUGGGCAGCCCUGCUUUAGGCUGUUCUUGUAGACUCUCUUUAGUCCCAGUAAGGGGAGAGUUAGGCUUUGUUUAGAACUGGAAAAGGGGUAAUCCCUAGUUAUGCUGUUUAGCAUUUAGGCCAAGUUUUAGCUGCAGCAGGAACCCAAUUGAGGGGCUGUGCUUUAGACACAGUUAUGUCAUUUUUGUGAAUUUUCUUUUCCUGACUGUUGCUGUUAUGGACAACUGUGACAAGCCAUGUAUCCUGAAAUUCAGCAUCUCUAAUAAAUUGCAAGUAUUGUUUUUGUACAAUGAUGG
rnacentral:lncRNA from 1 species